rnacentral:rRNA from 1 species
AGAGUUUGAUCAUGGCUCAGGACGAACGCUGGCGGCGUGCUUAACACAUGCAAGCCGAACGAUGAAGCCCAGCUUGCUGGGUGGAUUAGUGGCGAACGGGUGAGUAACACGUGGGUGAUCUGCCCUGCACUUCGGGAUAAGCCUGGGAAACUGGGUCUAAUACCGGAUAUGACCAAGGACUGCAUGGUUUUUGGUGGAAAGGUUUACUGGUGCAGGAUGAGCCCGCGGCCUAUCAGCUUGUUGGUGGGGUAAUGGCCUACCAAGGCGACGACGGGUAGCCGGCCUGAGAGGGCGACCGGCCACACUGGGACUGAGACACGGCCCAGACUCCUACGGGAGGCAGCAGUGGGGAAUAUUGCACAAUGGGCGAAAGCCUGAUGCAGCGACGCCGCGUGAGGGAUGACGGCCUUCGGGUUGUAAACCUCUUUCAGCAGGGACGAAGCGCAAGUGACGGUACCUGCAGAAGAAGCACCGGCCAACUACGUGCCAGCAGCCGCGGUAAUACGUAGGGUGCGAGCGUUGUCCGGAAUUACUGGGCGUAAAGAGCUCGUAGGCGGUUUGUCGCGUCGUCUGUGAAAACCCGCAGCUCAACUGCGGGCUUGCAGGCGAUACGGGCAGACUUGAGUACUGCAGGGGAGACUGGAAUUCCUGGUGUAGCGGUGAAAUGCGCAGAUAUCAGGAGGAACACCGGUGGCGAAGGCGGGUCUCUGGGCAGUAACUGACGCUGAGGAGCGAAAGCGUGGGUAGCGAACAGGAUUAGAUACCCUGGUAGUCCACGCCGUAAACGGUGGGCGCUAGGU